UUUUAUUAUUUUGUGUAAAAAGAAAAAAAGAAGAAGUUAAAUCUGUUUGGAAAAUAGAAAAAGAAAAGAGAAGGUCUUGUGAGAUUGGGCCAGAGUUACAGUAUUAGCUAAUCACGUGGGCCUUAAUCUUGUGCAGUCCCAUCAUUAAGAUAUAGGCCAUUGAAUCCAAGCCGCGUCUAUCCAUCCACCAUUAGAUCUGAUUCCCAAUUCAGAGACUCUUUGGAGGAAGCGAAGAGAAGCUAAGCUAAGCGAAGAUGGUGAAAGUGGCCGGCUUUUUCGCCAUGUCAGUGGGAGCCUUUUUAUUUUGGCAAACUAUGGACAAAAUCCAUGUCUGGAAUGCUCUUCGCCAGGAUGAGAAGCAAGAAAGAUUUGAAAAGGAGAUGGAGAUCAAGAGGGUCAGAGAAGAGUUAUUGCGACAAGCUAGAGAUAAGGAUGCUAUUGCAUGAGUUACUUGUAUGGUCAAAUUUCAAUUUCCCUCAUUUCCCCAAAGUACCAUAAUUGGUUGGUGCUUAGUUUUACAAAUGUUGUCACUGAAAAUAAAUGAAUUGGCAAAUUAGUUUGUUCAUGCCAUCUUUUCUUAUCUCUUGUUGCUUAUUCUUCUUUUUUGAUGGACGACAUAUGGAAAUUGUUUAAUUGUUUGUUGAAGUAAUAGCUGCUAUUAUUGAAA